rnacentral:lncRNA from 1 species
ACUAUUAUCAUACCAUAGUUAUCUGUCGUUACGCCUCCUCCAGUAAGUUUCACCCAUUGGCACCGAAACAGAGAGAUUUUCAAGGGUCCAUAGUCCAGUUCCCAUAUCUCCUCAAUCACACCAUAGUAUCUAUCUUCUUUCCAUUGUUGUUUAUUGCAUCUAUACGGUAGCCCUCAAAGUAGACUUCCCAAUAAGGUAGCCCUCAAAAUAUAGACUUCUUCCACAUGGGUGCAUGUCCAUCCUCGUUGUUCGGAAGAGGUUUGCUACCAGGACCCUUGCCAAAUACUACCCUCACAUCCUUUAUCAUAGAAAAUACACGUUUACCAUUACGGUGAACGGUCUCAGUACAUUUUUCUUCUUCCCCUUCAAAAUGCUUUCCUUUCUUUCUUAACGGGUGCUUAGCAGGAAGAAAUCGACGAUGGCUCAUAUUUAUGACAUUCCUAUAGUGUUUCAAAUACAUGUUGCUAGUAUUAUCUAAACAGUGCGUGCAGGCUCGAUAUCCCUUGUUUGUCUAUCCGGACAGAUUACCAAGUGCUGGCUAAUCAUUGAUGAUUACGAACAACAAUGCUCGUAGAUUAAAAGUCUCCUUUUUGUCCUCAUCCCACACAUGUACACCUUCUUUCUUCCAUAACAGUAAAAGUUCAUCAACCAACAAUUUUAGGUAAACAUCAAUGUCGUUGCCAGGUUGUUUUGGGUCUUGGAUAAUUACUGGCAUUAUAAUGAACUUCCACUUCAUGCACAUCCAUGGCGGAAAGUUGAACAUACAUAAGGUCAUAGGCCAAGUGCUAUGACCACUACUGAACUCACCGAAUGGAUUGAAUCUAUAUGUACUUAAACCAAACCGUAUGUUCCUUCCAUCCUUUCCAAACUUGGAAAAUUCUCUAUCAACUGUUCUCCAUAGGACCCAUCAGCAGGGUGUCUAAUCAUUUCAUCUUACUUACGUUCUUCUUUGUGCCAACACAUCAACUUUGCAUGUGUCUUGUUUCUGAACAAACGCUUCAAACGUGGUACUAUAGGGAAAUACCACAUUACCUUCGUAGAAACUUUCUUCUUGCUGGCUUGCCCCUCAACAUCAUCAGGAUCAUCUUGCCUGAUCUUAUAACAUAGCACUUCGCACAUAGGAAAAGCCUUCAAUUUCUCGUAUUCCU